ACGAACGCUGGCGGCGUGCUUAACACAUGCACGUCGAACGGAAAGGCCCUGCUUUUGUGGGGUGCUCGAGUGGCGAACGGGUGAGUAACACGUGAGUAACCUGCCCUUGACUUUGGGAUAACUUCAGGAAACUGGGGCUAAUACCGGAUAGGAGCUCCUGCUGCAUGGUGGGGGUUGGAAAGUUUCGGCGGUUGGGGAUGGACUCGCGGCUUAUCAGCUUGUUGGUGGGGUAGUGGCUUACCAAGGCUUUGACGGGUAGCCGGCCUGAGAGGGUGACCGGCCACAAUGGGACUGAGAUACGGCCCAGACUCCUACGGGAGGCAGCAGUGGGGAAUAUUGCACAAUGGGCGGAAGCCUGAUGCAGCAACGCCGCGUGCGGGAUGACGGCCUUCGGGUUGUAAACCGCUUUCGCCUGUGACGAAGCGUGAGUGACGGUAAUGGGUAAAGAAGCACCGGCUAACUACGUG
rnacentral:rRNA from 1 species